AUUGAACGCUGGCGGCAUGCUUUACACAUGCAAGUCGAACGGCAGCACGGACUUCGGUCUGGUGGCGAGUGGCGAACGGGUGAGUAAUACAUCGGAACGUGCCCAGUUGUGGGGGAUAACUACUCGAAAGAGUAGCUAAUACCGCAUGAGAACUGAGGUUGAAAGCAGGGGAUCGUAAGACCUUGCGCAACUGGAGCGGCCGAUGGCAGAUUAGGUAGUUGGUGGGAUAAAAGCUUACCAAGCCGACGAUCUGUAGCUGGUCUGAGAGGACGACCAGCCACCCUGGGACUGAGACACGGCCCAGACUCCUACGGGAGGCAGCAGUGGGGAAUUUUGGACAAUGGGCGAAAGCCUGAUCCAGCAAUGCCGCGUGCAGGAUGAAGGCCUUCGGGUUAUAAACUGCUCUUGUACGGAACGAAAAGCUUCGGGUUAAUACCCUGGAGUCAUGACGGUACCGUAAGAAUAAGCACCGGCUAACUACGUGCCAGCCGCCGCGGUAACAC
rnacentral:rRNA from 1 species